GUUAUUGAGCGAAAACCAAGACAAGAGGCUGUCACAACGACAGCAAACCGGAUUUAUUAACAUUUAUUUGUGUCCUGGCAAUAUCACAAGAACCAUUACUGAUGAAUGGUGAAAGUGAAAAUCGUCAAUAUCAAAUUUGACCUCCAUUUUGUCAUCAGUAUCAAUAUAUUAAAAUUUGAAAAGCUUAGAUUGAAUGGUUCAUGAGUAAAUGCAACAACGUGAAUGGAAACGCCAUUUUACGAUCUUUCAAGAACCAUAACUCCUGAACGGUAAAAGUCAAAAUCGUCAUUAUUGAACUUGACCUCUAUUUUGUCAUCAGUAACAACAUAUUAAAAUUUCAAAAGCUUUGGUUGAAUGGUUCAUGAGAAAAUGCACGGACAUGACGGGAAACACCAUUCUUCAAUCUUUCAAGAACCAUAACUCCUGAACGGUAAAAGUCAAAAUUGUCAUUAUUGAACUUGACCUCCAUUUUGUCAUCAGUAACAGCAUAUUAAAAUUUCGGAAGCUUUGGUAGAACAGUUCAUGCAUAAAUGCACGGACACGACUGGAAACUCCAUUUUUCAAUCUUUCAAGAACCAUAACUCCUGAACGGUAAAAGUCACAUUCGUCAUUAUUGAACUUGACCUCCAUUCUGUCAUUAGUAACAACAUAUUAAAAUUUGGGAAGCUUUGGUAGAACAGUUCAUGCGUAAAUGCACGGACACGACUGGAAACUCCAUUUUUCAAUCUUUCAAGAACCAUAACUCCUGAACGGUAAAAGUCAAAAUCG
rnacentral:lncRNA from 1 species